rfam:Camelus ferus unplaced genomic scaffold scaffold322, whole genome shotgun sequence.
GAGGGUAUAGCUCUGUGGCAGAGCGCACGCCUAGCAUUCAUGGGGUCCUGGGUUCAAUCCCCAGUAUCUCCA